rnacentral:rRNA from 1 species
GAUGAACGCUGGCGGCGUGCCUAAUACAUGCAAGUCGAGCGAACGGACGAGAACCUUGCUUCUCUGAUGUUAGCGGCGGACGGGUGAGUAACACGUGGAUGACCUACCUAUAAGACUGGGAUAACUUCGGGAAACCGGAGCUAAUACCGGAUAAUAUUUUGAACCGCAUGGUUCAAAAGUGAAAGACGGUCUUGCUGUCACUUAUAGAUGGAUCCGCGCUGCAUUAGCUAGUUGGUAAGGUAACGGCUUACCAAGGCAACGAUGCAUAGCCGACCUGAGAGGGUGAUCGGCCACACUGGAACUGAGACACGGUCCAGACUCCUACGGGAGGCAGCAGUAGGGAAUCUUCCGCAAUGGGCGAAAGCCUGACGGAGCAACGCCGCGUGAGUGAUGAAGGUCUUCGGAUCGUAAAACUCUGUUAUUAGGGAAGAACAUAUGUGUAAGUAACUGUGCACAUCUUGAUGGUACCUAAUCAGAAAGCCACGGCUAACUACGUGCCAACAGCCGCGGUAAUACGUAGGUGGCAAGCGUUAUCCGGAAUUAUUGGGCGUAAAGCGCGCGUAGGCGGUUUUUUAAGUCUGAUGUGAAAGCCCACGGCUCAACCGUGGAGGGUCAUUGGAAACUGGAAAACUUGAGUGCAGAAGAGGAAAGUGGAAUUCCAUGUGUAGCGGUGAAAUGCGCAGAGAUAUGGAGGAACACCAGUGGCGAAGGCGACUUUCUGGUCUGUAACUGACGCUGAUGUGCGAAAGCGUGGGGAUCAAACAGGAUUAGAUACCCUGGUAGUCCACGCCGUAAACGAUGAGUGCUAAGUGUUAGGGGGUUUCCGCCCCUUAGUGCUGCAGCUAACGCAUUAAGCACUCCGCCUGGGGAGUACGACCGCAAGGUUGAAACUCAAAGGAAUUGACGGGGACCCGCACAAGCGGUGGAGCAUGUGGUUUAAUUCGAAGCAACGCGAAGAACCUUACCAAAUCUUGACAUCCUUUGACAACUCUAGAGAUAGAGCCUUCCCCUUCGGGGGACAAAGUGACAGGUGGUGCAUGGUUGUCGUCAGCUCGUGUCGUGAGAUGUUGGGUUAAGUCCCGCAACGAGCGCAACCCUUAAGCUUAGUUACCAUCAUUAAGUUGGGCACUCUAAGUUGACUGCCGGUGACAAACCGGAGGAAGGUGGGGAUGACGUCAAAUCAUCAUGCCCCUUAUGAUUUGGGCUACACACGUGCUACAAUGGACAAUACAAAGGGCAGCGAAACCGCGAGGUCAAGCAAAUCCCAUAAAGUUGUUCUCAGUUCGGAUUGUAGUCUGCAACUCGACUACAUGAAGCUGGAAUCGCUAGUAAUCGUAGAUCAGCAUGCUACGGUGAAUACGUUCCCGGGUCU